rnacentral:lncRNA from 1 species
ACUUACAGAAAACUUUUGAAAUUUGGAUUUAAAUUAUCAAAAUACUUUUUAAAGUUAGCUGUAUCAGCAAUCUACUUUAUUUCUGUAAAUAAUAGUUUUUUUUUCUUCUUUAUGCUUUUAGUCACACAUUGUGUGGAAAAUUAGUUUGUGCCUGGCCACAUAAAACUUUAGUAUCACAAGCAAAUUUAUCUGUGAUCUAUACGCAUGUACGAGAUGAAAUAUGCGCAUCAGUAUUUCUGAAUGCUGAGAGGUUACCUAGAGAUACAUUUACCACAGUUGAAAAACCUGAAGACAGAGAUAAAACAUUUGUAGAAGAUGGCACUAUAUGUGGCCCUGGAAUGUAUUGUUUGAACUUUUCCUGUAGAGAGGUUAGAUUCCAAAUAAAUACUACACAAUGCAGUAAUGAUGUUGAUUGUAAUUCAAAAGGAGUAUGCAACAAUUUAAAUCAUUGCCAUUGUUUGAAAGGGUUUGGGCCUCCUAACUGCAAGCCCCUUCUAGGAGGGUUUGGAAGUGUCGAUGAUGGACACGAGCACAAAGCCGGUUAGUGUCUUUAAAACUUUGUUAAUCUAAGGUAAUAUGUAAGAAAAUGAAAUUUAGGUUCCAAGCCACAUUGCAAAGCAACUCAUGUCAACAAAUAUGAGUUUUAUUUUACUUAU